AAUUAAGUUCUUACUUUAUUUAUUAUUAUCUUAUUUUUAGAAGUAUCUUUAUUUUUAGUAUAUUAAAGAAAAAAUUUUUUUGUUAUAGUAAAUUUGUACUGUGAAGGAAUGAUGAAAUAAUUAAAAAAUUAUAUUUUUAAAAAGUAUGUUUAAUUUGCAGUACCUUUUGUAUCAGGGUUGAUUUAAUAUAAAAAUUUAUUUUUUUGUCUCGAUUUUAAAAGAGCUAACUAGAUAUUUUAGUUAAUGUUGCAUAAUUAUUAUUAAUAUCAGUUAGAGGAGAAAUUUUAUUCGCUUUUAAAGGUAUCUAGUUUUUUAAGAAUUAAAUUUAAUUUAUUUUCAUUAUUUAACUUUUUUAUUAACUUAUUAGUUAUUUAUUGAAUAAAAAUUUAUAGGGGAUAAGCUCUAUAUAAAUCUAUAAAAUUUAUAUUUAAUGAACUGAAGUAGGCUUAUAAAUAGCCAUCUUUUAUAAGUAUGUUAUAAUUUAUUUGUCUUAUUAAUUAAUUUUUAAAUUUUUAGUAUUUUAUUAAAAUAUCAUGAUAAAUUAUUAAUUUUGAGUAAUAAUGAUUAAAUUAGUAUAAGAAAUUGUUUUUAAUUUAUUAAUUAUAAUGAUAAAAUAAGGAACUCGGCAAACAUAGUUCUCGCCUGUUUAACAAAAACAUGUCCUNNNNNNNNNNNNNNNNNNNNNNNNNNNNNNNNNNNNNNNNNNNNUUAUUUUUAACGGCCGCGGUAUACUUGACCGUGCAAAGGUAGCAUAAUCAUUAGUCUUUUAAUAGAGGGCUGGAAUGAACGGUUUAAGGAGGAACUGACUGUCUCAUUUUAUUCCCUAUUAAAAUUUAAUUUUUUAGUCAAAAAGUAAAAUUUGAUUGGAAGAAAAGAAGACCCUAUAGAUCUUUAUAUAUUAUUUUUUAAUAAUUAUUAUAUUAAUAAUUUUAAUCUAUAAUAUAUUUUGUUGGGGUGACAAGAAUAUACAAUUAACUUUUUUAUAAUUUUUACAUUGAUUUAUGAAUAUUAGAUCCAUUAUUAUUGAUUAUUAGACCAAGUUKCCUUAGGGAUAACAGGGUAAUCCYUCUCCAGAGUUCAUAUUUACAGGAGGGCUUGGGACCU
rnacentral:rRNA from 1 species